UCGGUCUCUGCAAUCUGAGGUUCUGUCCGGUCUCACCAGUCUCUGUAAAGUCUGAGGUCCUGUCUCACCAGUCUCUGCAGAGUCUGAGGUCCUGUCUCACCAGUCUCCGUAGAGUCUGAGGUCCUGUCUCACCAGUCUCUGCAGAGUCUGAGGUCCUGUCUCACCAGUCUCUGUAG